AUGAUUGCUUUUCGGGAUUCAUUGGAGAUCUGUGGCCUAGUCGACCUUGGCUUCGUUGGUGUGCCCUUUACAUAUGAUAACAAGAGGGGAGGAGGAGGUAAUGUUAAGGUAAGGCUGGAUAGGGCAGUUGCAACUAAUGCGUGGAGGAACAUGUUUGCCUAUGCUUCUGUGGUGCAUGUUCCUUCGCCCUGCUCAAAUCAUGUGGCCCUUGUCCUAAAGGGCUCGGCCGACCUGGGACCGCUAGGUGGUAAGCAGAGGAGGUACGAAGUGUUUUGGGAGCGUGAUGAGUCCCUGCCUGAGGUGAUAAAGGAAGCCUGGGAGGCAGGGGGAGUUCAUAAUAUGGCUCAGUUGCGGGAUGCUCUUUCUAAAACAAUGGCAGCUCUUAGGGUGUGGAGCAAAAAAAUUGGUAAUAUUACAAGGGAGCUUGCCAAGUCCCGUACUCAGUUAGAGGAGUUGAUGCAUAUGAAUGCUGAUCGCCAAGAUAUCACAAGAGUGACGGACAAGAUGAACGAGCUUCUGUAUCAAGAAGAGAUGCUUUAG
rnacentral:rRNA from 1 species